GAGAGAUUUGUUGUUGUUUUUAACUGUAAUGAUGUGCUGUUUAAGUGGAACAGGUGCUGGGCUCUAGCUGUUUGUGUUUAAACCUGCCAAAUCACACUCUUUUUGUUGGUUGGGUUGUUUAAGUAAUUUAGGAACCAGACUGUGGCCCCUGGCUUGCCAAGAGUGAGUUCAAGGUUCCAUCUCACUGCUGCAGAUCCCUGUCUCCACUGUGACAGGCAGGUAUCUGCCUGAACUGGAGCUUAUGCUGUAGACAUUUCUUUGUGGAAUUCAUCUAAAAACCUGAGUGUUUUGUUCCCCUAGUUGAAUUCUUCAGAGGAAGAGCGAAAGAGCCUUCUAGUUUUCGAACUCUUGAGGCGUGACUGUUUCAAUUUAUCUCCUGCUUACCAGGUG
rnacentral:lncRNA from 1 species